rnacentral:rRNA from 1 species
GCAUAUAUUUCCCGCAUGGGUUUUAUAUUAAAGAAAUUCGGUAUGAGAUGGGGAUGCGUUCCAUUAGUUUGUUGGGGGGGUAACGGCCCACCAAGACUACGAUGGAUAGGGGUUCUGAGAGGAAGGUCCCCCACAUUGGAACUGAGACACGGUCCAAACUCCUACGGGAGGCAGCAGUGAGGAAUAUUGGUCAAUGGACGCGAGUCUGAACCAGCCAAGUAGCGUGAAGGAUGACUGCCCUAUGGGUUGUAAACUUCUUUUAUAUGGGAAUAAAGUGGUCCACGUGUGGACUUUUGUAUGUACCAUAUGAAUAAGGAUCGGCUAACUCCGUGCCAGCAGCCGCGGUAAUACGGAGGAUCCGAGCGUUAUCCGGAUUUAUUGGGUUUAAAGGGAGCGUAGGCGGAUUGUUAAGUCAGUUGUGAAAGUUUGCGGCUCAACCGUAAAAUUGCAGUUGAUACUGGCAGUCUUGAGUGCAGUAGAGGUGGGCGGAAUUCGUGGUGUAGCGGUGAAAUGCUUAGAUAUCACGAAGAACUCCGAUUGCGAAGGCAGCUCACUGGAGUGUAACUGACGCUGAUGCUCGAAAGUGUGGGUAUCAAACAGGAUUAGAUACCCUGGUAGUCCACA